GAUGAACGCUGGCGGCGUGCCUAAUACAUGCAAGUCGAGCGAAGCGGGGACGGGUGAGUAACACGUGGAUAACCUCCUAUAUGACUGGGAUAACUUCGGGAAACCGGAGCUAAACCGGAUGCUUAUAGAUGGAUCCGCGCUGCAUUAGCUAGUUGGUAAGGUAACGGCUUACCAAGGCAACGAUCCAUAGCCGACCUGAGAGGUUGACCAGCCACACUGGAACUUAGACACGGUCCAGACUCCUACGGGAGGCAGCAGUGGGGAAUAUUCCGAAAUGGGCGCAAGCCUGACGGAGCAACGCCGCGUGAAUGAUGAAGGCCUGCGGGUCGUAAACCACUUUUAUUAGGGAGGCGUUACCUAAUGAAAAAGCACCGGCUAACUACGUGCCAGCAGCCGCGGUAAUUC
rnacentral:rRNA from 1 species